CAACAUUGUGCCUGAAAAAGGGUUAUCUUGAUAGGAUAAAUUAUAAGUUUUUUCUUUGUUU
rnacentral:tRNA from 1 species